GCCAUCACUCCAGAACGAGUCCCUGUGGCUCACAUACGUAUUUAUGUCUAAUAACCUUAAUUAUCGUCAGCUGGGGUCCUCGGUGAUUUACCGCUACACAAGAGCCAAACCUCUAUCUUAUGUGUCUGGGAUCACCUUAUCAGGAAUGUUCUGCGGCGCAGCGGUAUCACUGAAAUGGACAGCUCUUUGCGAAGAGUGAUUGUCAGCUACCUCUGUGAUGAAGAUUCGUGCAGAGCUCUCGCUCUCAACAGAUGUACAGGUAGAACUACACAAUGG